rnacentral:misc_RNA from 1 species
UAUCGUACAACAGAGGCACAAGGGCUGUCGCUGAUCUUUAAAAGGUUGUGCACGCCCAAGUGCUCUCACACACAUCCAUCUCACCCCUUGUGCAUCACCGCGUGGGUCCCCCCUUACGGGAGGGUUCACGUCUUCACAUAAAACUUAAUGCAGUAUAGAAUGUUUUCUUUUUUGUUUGCGGUCACACGCAAUAAAUACAACUUUCAACAACGGAUCUCUUGGCUCUCGCAUCGAUGAAGAACGCAGCGAAAUGCGAUACGUAAUGUGAAUUGCAGAUUUUCAGUGAAUCAUCGAAUCUUUGAACGCACCUUGCGCUCCUUGGUAUUCCGAGGAGCAUGCCUGUUUGAGUGUCAUCGAAUUCUCAAUCAUGUCUUGAUGCAUUUCAAGGACAUGGCUUGGAGUUGGGGGUUGCUGGUGGCGAAAAUGCUGUCAGCUCUCCUGAAAUGCAUUAGCAAAGGGUGGCAAGUCUUUUCGACGUGCAACGGCCUUCGACGUGAUAAUGAUCGUCGUGGCUGGCGCAUCAAGGGGGAGAUAUGCAUGAAUUGUCCAUUGCUUCCAAUUGUCGAGUCUUUACUUAGCUACUAGUGGGUCAUGAGGCCGACGAACGUUGAGUGGGCUUGUCUGUUUCGAAACUUG